rnacentral:lncRNA from 1 species
GUUUACAGCCAAAUAAUAAUAAUGAUGAUCCCCCUGUGAGUUUAAGCAGCAGAUGGAAUAUAGGGCAAGAUGCCCCCCACAACAAGAACAGUACACCCUUAUACCUGAGCUGCUAAGAGACUCAAGAACUGUAAGGAGGCUAAUGAAGAAGACGAAGAGAAAAGCUGCAUGCAGAAGGCUGCCCACCUUAUUUAAUCUCCUUAGAAAUGAUAAAGAUAUGCAACAACAGGGAGAUAAGGCAGGAGUUUAUAGGAUCCCCAUCGACAACCUAGACAAAGGCGUAGGGAGCUAUAUGUAGGGGCAACGAGGAGAAACUUCAAACUCCGUUUAAAGGAGCAUCAAAGAGACAUAGUCAAAGCUAAUCUAACUACAACUUUAGUGAUAAAGGUGUAUGAGAGCAAUCUUGACAUAAAAUGGGGAGAUUCUAG